rnacentral:rRNA from 1 species
AUUACUCCUACGGGAGGCAGCAGUAGGGAAUCUUCCACAAUGGGUGAAAACCUGAUGGAGCAAUGCCGCGUGAAUGAAGAAGGUCUUCGGAUCGUAAAGUUCUGUUAUUAGAGAAUAACAAGUCAAGGAGUAACUGUCUUGGCUUUGACGGUACCUAACCAGAAAGUCACGGCUAACUACGUGCCAGCAGCCGCGGUAAUAAUC